rnacentral:ncRNA from 1 species
AGCGAUACUGACGUGCAAAUCGUUCGUCUGACUUGGGUAUAGGGGCGAAAGACUAAUCGAACCAUCUAGUAGCUGGUUCCCUCCGAAGUUUCCCUCAGGAUAGCUGGAGCCGUGUACGAGUUCUAUCAGGUAAAGCCAAUGAUUAGAGGCAUUGGGGACGCAACGUCCUCGACCUAUUCUCAAACUUUAAAUAGGUAGGAUGGCUCGGCUG